rnacentral:rRNA from 1 species
GACAGAGGGUGCAAACGUUGCUCGGAAUCACUGGGCGUAAAGGGCGUGUAGGCGGGUAGAUAAGUCGGGCGUGAAAUCCCUAGGCUCAACCUAGGAACUGCACUCGAAACUGUUUAUCUUGAGUGCCGGAGAGGAAAGCGGAAUUCCUGGUGUAGAGGUGAAAUUCGUAGAUAUCGGGAGGAACACCGGUGGCGAAGGCGGCGACCUGGGUUGACACUGACGCUGAGGCGCGAAAGCGUGGGGAGCAAACAGG